rnacentral:rRNA from 1 species
UACGUAGGGGGCGAGCGUUGUCCGGAGUUACUGGGCGUAAAGGGCAUGCAGGCGGUCGGCCGCGUUUCGGGUGACAGCGGGUGGCUUAACUACCCGAGUGGUCGAAAGACGGUUUGACUUGAGGACGCGAGAGGGACACGGAAUUCCGGGUGGAGUGGUGAAAUGCGUAGAGAUCCGGAGGAACACCGAAGGCGAAGGCAGUGUCCUGGCGCGUAACUGACGCUGAGGUGCGAAAGCCAGGGGAGCGAACGGG